GUGUUUGCGUGUCAUAUGCAGCAUCAUGCACUGAAAAGCUUGAUGUGUGAGGAGAAUGGAGAUCGAGCACAUCCACAGAAGCAGCGGCUGAUUGGGCUUGCAAGCACGCUGGGGAAGGAGCAGCUCAAUGCUACCCACGGGGCAUCCCUUCAGAGGGGGCAUGCGUUGCAGCUGUGUGGUGUGCACAGAGCUGGUGGCACUCACUGGAUGCUCCCAGAAGACAAACAGCAUUGGUCCAGAUCAAACGCCUCCCACAAGAAGUUCGGACUUCUUUGUUAGAGAAAUGCACAGUCAGCUGGGUGCGGGGCCGGCAGUGCUGCAGUCCAUGUGCCAUGGCCCACCUGGAGGGCAGGCGUGCAGAGGAGCCGUGUCAGACACACACUGCGUUCUAUUAAGAAAAAAAAAAGAAAGGAAAAAACUUACGAGUUUCAUAGAAACAAAUUGCUAUUUAAUUGCAAUGAGCUCUUCUGUGGCUUCACUGGACUGA
rnacentral:lncRNA from 1 species